GUCCUAUCCUUCCACGACAUUCCUCCCGGGUUGGGAGGCCAGGAUCAUCUCCAAGCUCAUCCCUUUAUGAAUCAAAACCCCUGAACAAAGGAGUUCCAAUAUUCUGGCUGAUGGCUUUGAAGAACAAUGAUUUUACUUCUGAUAAGGUCAAAUAUAUUAAUGGUAGGACUGAAGAGCCUAGAUGAUUGAAACUUGAGUUUUUAUUUAACUCAAAUCUCUUUUUUUAAGAGCACUGUCUUGACAAAGUCUUAUCAUAUGAUUGAUGAAGAUGAUCCACUUCUUGAGAAGGCUAUUAGCUCGAGCUAUGCUCUUGAUCAGAUUCAGAGAGAUGGGAGACAUCUUAGGUAACCACUAUGGCUGGAGCCUUGGCCACAGCUAAGGAACCAAGAGCUUGAAUUCAUGUGUCAUUUAUAUUAAUUCUCUUCAGGACUUUUUGAGCGGAGUUAGUUGUGGCUGCAGGAGAGGAAGUGGUUGUCAAAGACAAGGGUGAUGGUAAGAAAAAAAAUAAAGCAAAAAGACUGAGUAAGAAGAUGAAGAUCAAUGAGAAAGCGGGUGGUUCGGUAAGGAGGGCAGUGACAAAAUUUCGAAGAAG